GACGAACGCNGGCGGCGUGCCUAAUACAUGCAAGUAGAACGCUGAAGGAGGAGCUUGCUCUUCUGGAUGAGUUGCGAACGGGUGAGUAACGCGUAGGUAACCUGCCUGGUAGCGGGGGAUAACUAUUGGAAACGAUAGCUAAUACCGCAUAAUAGUAGAUGUUGCAUGACAUUUGCUUAAAAGGUGCAAUUGCAUCACUACCAGAUGGACCUGCGUUGUAUUAGCUAGUUGGUGAGGUAACGGCUCACCAAGGCGACGAUACAUAGCCGACCUGAGAGGGUGAUCGGCCACACUGGGACUGAGACACGGCCCAGACUCCUACGGGAGGCAGCAGUAGGGAAUCUUCGGCAAUGGACGGAAGUCUGACCGAGCAACGCCGCGUGAGUGAAGAAGGUUUUCGGAUCGUAAAGCU
rnacentral:rRNA from 1 species